GUCUUUUUGAAGUUAAUUUAAAGUCUGACCUGCCCACUGAGAAUUUAAAUGGCCGCAGUAUUUUGACUGUGCAAAGGUAGCAUAAUCAUUAGUUUUUUAAUUAAAAGCUGGAAUGAAAGGUCGAACGAGAAAAAAUCUGUCUCUUURUUAAUUAUUUAGAAUUUUAUUUUUAAGUUAAAAAGCUUAAAUUUUAUUAAAAGACGAGAAGACCCUAUAGAGUUUUAUAAAAUAUUUAAUUUUAAUUUAAAUUGAAUUUUUAAAAUUAUAAUUUUUGAUUUAUUUAAUUGGGGUGAUUGAAAAAUUUACUUAACUUUUUUUUUAUUUAAACAUUUAUUUAUGAUAAAUUGAUCCAUAUAAAUGAUUAUAAGAUUAAAUUACCUUAGGGAUAACAGCGUAAUUUUUUUUAAGAGUUCUAAUCGAUAAAGAAGUUUGCGACCUCGAUGUUGGAUUAAAAGAUAGUUUUGGUGUAGUAGCUAAAAUUUUAGGUCUGUUCGACCUUUAUAAUUUUACAUGAUCUGAGUUUAAACCGGUGUAAGCCAGGUUGGUUUCUAUCUUUAAUUUAUAUUAAUAUUUCAGUACGAAAGGACCUAAUAUUAAUAAUAAUUAUUUUAUUUUGAUUAAUAUU
rnacentral:rRNA from 1 species